CGCAAUGGGACGAAGUCUGACGGAGCGACGCCGCGUGGAUGACGAAGGCCGAAAGGUUGUAAAGUCCUUUUGCUGGGGAAGAAUAACCAUGGGAGGGAAUGCCCGUGGGAUGACAUGAACCGGCGAAUAAGCCCCGGCUAACUACGUGCCAGCAGCCGCGGUAACACGUAGGGGGCAAGCGUUGUACGGAAUCAUUGGGCGUAAAGGGCGCGUAGGCGGUUAUACAAGUCUGGUGUGAAAGCCCACAGCUUAACUGUGGAGACGCGCUGGAAACUGUGUGACUCGAGUUCAGGAGGGGAAGCUGGAAUUCCAGGUGUAGGGGUGAAAUCUGUAGAUAUCUGGAAGAACAUCAGUGGCGAAGGCGAGCUUCUGGCCAUGAACUGACGCUGAGGCGCGAAAGCGUGGGGAGCAAACAGGAUUAGAUACCCUGGUAGUCCACGCCGUAAACGAUGUGCACUAGGUGUUGGGCCAUUAAGGUUCAGUGCCGUAGCUAACGCGUUAAGUGCACCGCCUGGGGAGUAUGCUCGCAAGGGUGAAACUCAAAGGAAUUGACGGGG
rnacentral:rRNA from 1 species